rnacentral:rRNA from 1 species
CAGACAAGGGAGCUUGCUCCUUUGACGUUAGCGGCGGACGGGUGAGUAACACGUGGGUAACCUACCUAUAAGACUGGGAUAACUUCGGGAAACCGGAGCUAAUACCGGAUAAUAUUUCGAACCGCAUGGUUCGAUAGUGAAAGAUGGUUUUGCUAUCACUUAUAGAUGGACCCGCGCCGUAUUAGCUAGUUGGUAAGGUAACGGCUUACCAAGGCGACGAUACGUAGCCGACCUGAGAGGGUGAUCGGCCACACUGGAACUGAGACACGGUCCAGACUCCUACGGGAGGCAGCAGUAGGGAAUCUUCCGCAAUGGGCGAAAGCCUGACGGAGCAACGCCGCGUGAGUGAUGAAGGUCUUCGGAUCGUAAAACUCUGUUAUUAGGGAAGAACAUACGUGUAAGUAACUAUGCACGUCUUGACGGUACCUAAUCAGAAAGCCACGGCUAACUACGUGCCAGCAGCCGCGGUAAUACGUAGGUGGCAAGCGUUAUCCGGAAUUAUUGGGCGUAAAGCGCGCGUAGGCGGUUUUUUAAGUCUGAUGUGAAAGCCCACGGCUCAACCGUGGAGGGUCAUUGGAAACUGGAAAACUUGAGUGCAGAAGAGGAAAGUGGAAUUCCAUGUGUAGCGGUGAAAUGCGCAGAGAUAUGGAGGAACACCAGUGGCGAAGGCGACUUUCUGGUCUGUAACUGACGCUGAUGUGCGAAAGCGUGGGGAUCAAACAGGAUUAGAUACCCUGGUAGUCCACGCCGUAAACGAUGAGUGCUAAGUGUUAGGGGGUUUCCGCCCCUUAGUGCUGCAGCUAACGCAUUAAGCACUCCGCCUGGGGAGUACGACCGCAGGGUUGAAACUCAAAGGAAUUGACGGAGACCCGCACAAGCGGUGGAGCAUGUGGUUUAAUUCGAAGCAACGCGAAGAACCUUACCAAAUCUUGACAUCCUUUGACAACUCUAGAGAUAGAGCUU